UACGGAGGGUGCAAGCGUUAACCGGAGUUACUGGGCGUAAAGCGCGCGCAGGCGGCCUCUUAAGUCGGAUGUGAAAGCCCCCGGCUCAACCGGGGAGGGCCAUUGGAAACUGUGAGGCUUGAGUAUAGGAGAGGAGGGUGGAAUUCCACGUGUAGCGGUGAAAUGCGUAGAGAUGUGGAGGAACACCAGUGGCGAAGGCGGCUCUUUGGCCUAUAACUGACGCUGAGGCGCGAAAGCGUGGGGAGCAAACAGG
rnacentral:misc_RNA from 1 species